CCUACGGGUGGCAGCAGUGAGGAAUAUUGGUCAAUGGGCGCGAGCCUGAACCAGCCAAGUCGCGUGAGGGAGGACGGCCCUACGGGUUGUAAACCACUUUUGCCGGGGAGCAACGUGCGCCACGUGUGGCGUCACUGAGAGUACCCGGAGGAAAAGCCUCGGCUAACUCCGUGCCAGCAGCCGCGGUAAUACGGAGGAUGCGAGCGUUAUCCGGAUUUAGUGGGUUUAAAGGGUGCGUAGGCGGAGCGUUAAGUCAGUGGUCAAAUUGAGGGGCUCAACCCCUUCCCGGCAUUGAAACUGGCGUUCUUGAGUGGAAGAGAAGUAGGCGGAAUGCGUGGUGUAGCGGUGAAAUGCAUAGAUAUUACGCAGAACCCCGAUUGCGAAGGCAGCAUGCCGGCUUCCGACUGACGCUGAAGCACGAAAGCGUGGGGAUCGAACAGGAUUAGAUACCCGAGUAGUC
rnacentral:rRNA from 1 species